ensembl:snoRNA
UGAUGACACAUCUCCGGAAUCUCUGCACUAUGUUGAUGAAAAAUGUGAACCCUUUUUUCUGAUGACUGUUAAAAAAACAAGGCUUGUU